rnacentral:rRNA from 1 species
AAUGAACGUUGGCGGCGUGGAUUAGGCAUGCAAGUCGAGCGCGAUGUUUCCUUCGGGAAACGGAAAGCGGCGAAAGGGAGAGUAACGCGUGGAUUAUCUACCCUCGGAUUCGGGAUAGCUGCGGGAAACUGCAGGUAAUACCGGAUAACGUCUCCGGACCAAAGGUGUGAUUCCGUCCGAGGAUGAGUCCGCGUCCUAUUAGCUUGUUGGUGGGGUAACGGCCUACCAAGGCGAUGAUGGGUACUGGGUGUGAGAGCACGACCCAGCUCACUGGGACUGAGACACUGCCCAGACACCUACGGGUGGCUGCAGUCGAGAAUCUUCGGCAAUGGGCGCAAGCCUGACCGAGCGACGCCGCGUGCGGGAUGAAGGCCUUCGGGUUGUAAACCGCUGUCAGAGGGAACGAAAGGUCAUGGGGCUAUCCCCACGAUUUGACCGAUCCUCAGAGGAAGUACGGGCUAAGUUCGUG